rnacentral:rRNA from 1 species
UACGAAGGGGGCUAGCGUUGUUCGGAAUUACUGGGCGUAAAGGGCGCGCAGGCGGCCCUUCAAGUCAGGCGUGAAAGCCCCGGGCUCAACCCGGGAAUGGCGCUUGAAACUGGGAGACUUGAGUGUGGCAGAGGGGGGUGGAAUUCCACGUGUAGCAGUGAAAUGCGUAGAUAUGUGGAGGAACACCGAUGGCGAAGGCAGCCCCCUGGGUUAACACUGACGCUCAUGCACGAAAGCGUGGGGAGCAAACAGG